rnacentral:misc_RNA from 1 species
GAUGAAGAACGUAGCGAAAUGCGAUAAGUAAUGUGAAUUGCAGAAUUCAGUGAAUCAUCGAAUCUUUGAACGCAUCUUGCGCUCCUUGGUAUUCCUUGGAGCAUGCCUGUUUGAGUAUCAUGAGCAAAUCUCAAAGUCAAUUCCUUUUGUUAAUUCAAUUGGUUUUGCUUUGGACUUGGAGGUCUUGCAGAUUUCACACAGUCUGCUCCUCUUAAAUGCAUUAGCUGGAUCUCAGUAAUUAUGCUUGGUUCCACUCGGCGUGAUAAGUAUCACUCGCUGAGGACACUGUUAAAAAGGUGGCCAGGAAAAUACUGAUUGAACCGCUUCUAACGGUCUAUUAAGUUAGACAAUUACCCUUAAGUUUGAUCUCAAAUCAGGUAGGACUACCCGCUGAACUUAAGCAUAUCAAUAAGCGGAGGA